AUUGAACGCUGGCGGCAGGCCUAACACAUGCAAGUCGAGCGAGCGGCGGACGGGUGAGUAAUGUCUGGGAAACUGCUUGAUGGAGGGGGAUAACUCCUGGAAACGGUAGCUAAUACCGCAUACCCUCAGAUGUGCCCAGAUGGGAUUAGCUCGUAGGUGGGGUAACGGCUCACCUAGGUGACGAUCCCUAGCUGGUCUGAGAGGAUGACCAGCCACACUGGAACUGAGACACGUUCCAGACUCCGACGGGAGGCAGCAGUGGGGAAUAUUGCACAAGGGGCGCAAGCCUGAUGCAGCCAUGCAGAGUGUGUGAAGAAGGCCUUCGGGUUGUAAAGUACUUUCAGCGGGGAGGCGUUACCCGCAGAAGAAGCACAGGAUAACUCCGUGCCAGCAGCCGCGGUAAUGC
rnacentral:rRNA from 1 species